rnacentral:lncRNA from 1 species
CUGAGACAUGGAAAGUGCAAUGCUUUUAGCAGGCCUGAUAUUGCUUUCAGAAUAUAAAGCUGCUAGAAAUAAUAGGCCAGAUCCAUCUAAAACCUGUAACUUUGAGGAGUCACAAACCUAUUCCUAGCUCAUUUAAUAUCAAAAUAAGGAAUGUUGAUUGGAAUCAGCCUUAUAGAAAAUAUGAAAGAUAUUUCUUUUACCUCUUUUAUGAUGAGCAAGGUGCUAUCAAUUAACCUGAAGAGUGAGUCCUCCAUUUGUCUCUUAC